rnacentral:lncRNA from 1 species
CCGUUCCCAACAAUUUGGUGGCCCGUAGGGGAUUAACAUUCCCCUCUGGGACAGUCUUUGGUCCUCUCUCAUGGGGAGGUGCCCCACUGCCCAUUGUAGCAGCCCCUGGAGGACAGCCAGGACCUACCCGGAGCAAGGAAUAUAGUUGGAUUCUCAGCAACGCAGGGAAAGAGAGAGGCUUGCAGGACCACAGUGACCAGGUGACUCCAUGCACGGGCCAAGGGAACUACUCAGGAGCAAGGUUAGACUUCCACGGAAGAGGCAGGAAAUGUGCCCGUGUUGUAACAAGGUUUGAAGGAGGUACCUCUCACACAUGAGCAUGAAAACCCAAUAAUCACACCUAUGAAUUACUGUCUGUAGCAUGCGGCUUGUCACAUCUGCAAGGGAGCUGCCUGGAUUUGCCGGGGCCUGUUUUCUGAAAAAUGGACCACUUAAAAAGUACUUCUUACAGGUGAGUGGGCUCAAGGAUACACAUUAAGAGUCAAAAUGGUGGAGUUUAACUGGUAUAUGACCUUCUUGGGUACAUUCAAUUGGUAAGAGAAGAAUGCC